CGGACAGUGUCUGGUGGGUAGUUUGACUGGGGCGGUCUCCUCCUAAAGAGUAACGGAGGAGCACGAAGGUUGGCUAAUCCUGGUCGGACAUCAGGAGGUUAGUGCAAUGGCAUAAGCCAGCUUGACUGCGAGCGUGACGGCGCGAGCAGGUGCGAAAGCAGGUCAUAGUGAUCCGGUGGUUCUGAAUGGAAGGGCCAUCGCUCAACGGAUAAAAGGUACUCCGGGGAUAACAGGCUGAUACCGCCCAAGAGUUCAUAUCGACGGCGGUGUUUGGCACCUCGAUGUCGGCUCAUCACAUCCUGGGGCUGAAGUAGGUCCCAAGGGUAUGGCUGUUCGCCAUUUAAAGUGGUACGCGAGCUGGGUUUAGAACGUCGUGAGACAGUUCGGUCCCUAUCUGCCGUGGGCGCUGGAGAACUGAGGGGGGCUGCUCCUAGUACGAGAGGACCGGAGUGGACGCAUCACUGGUGUUCGGGUUGUCAUGCCAAUGGCACUGCCCGGUAGCUAAAUGCGGAAGAGAUAAGUGCUGAAAGCAUCUAAGCACGAAACUUGCCCCGAGAUGAGUUCUCCCUGACUCCUUGAGAGUCCUGAAGGAACGUUGAAGACGACGACGUUGAUAGGCCGGGUGUGUAAGCGCAGCGAUGCGUUGAGCUAACCGGUACUAAUGAACCGUGAGG
rnacentral:rRNA from 1 species